rnacentral:miRNA from 1 species
UUGCUGGGUCCUGAUGAUGGA